rnacentral:rRNA from 1 species
CUCAGAGUGAACGCUGGCGGUAGGCCUAACACAUGCAAGUCGAACGGCAGCACAGUAAGAGCUUGCUCUUAUGGGUGGCGAGUGGCGGACGGGUGAGGAAUACAUCGGAAUCUACCUUUUCGUGGGGGAUAACGUAGGGAAACUUACGCUAAUACCGCAUACGACCUUCGGGUGAAAGCAGGGGACCUUCGGGCCUUGCGCGGAUAGAUGAGCCGAUGUCGGAUUAGCUAGUUGGCGGGGUAAAGGCCCACCAAGGCGACGAUCCGUAGCUGGUCUGAGAGGAUGAUCAGCCACACUGGAACUGAGACACGGUCCAGACUCCUACGGGAGGCAGCAGUGGGGAAUAUUGGACAAUGGGCGCAAGCCUGAUCCAGCCAUACCGCGUGGGUGAAGAAGGCCUUCGGGUUGUAAAGCCCUUUUGUUGGGAAAGAAAAGCAGUCGAUUAAUACUCGGUUGUUCUGACGGUACCCAAAGAAUAAGCACCGGCUAACUUCGUGCCAGCAGCCGCGGUAAUACGAAGGGUGCAAGCGUUACUCGGAAUUACUGGGCGUAAAGCGUGCGUAGGUGGUUGUUUAAGUCUGUUGUGAAAGCCCUGGGCUCAACCUGGGAAUUGCAGUGGAUACUGGACGACUAGAGUGUGGUAGAGGGUAGUGGAAUUCCCGGUGUAGCAGUGAAAUGCGUAGAGAUCGGGAGGAACAUCCAUGGCGAAGGC